CUUUUUGGGCCGGAUUCAAAGCUCACUGAAGUCAGCUGGAGUCUUUCCAUUGACUUCAAAGGGCUUUGGAUCAGGCCCUAGGUAU
rnacentral:pre_miRNA from 1 species